rnacentral:lncRNA from 1 species
AAAGCCACACUGAGGCUGAUGACAGCAGGGCGCAUCUGCUGGUGUUUUAUGUGGAUUAGGGAUAAGUUCGUUGUUAUGGAAGAAGGAUGGACUAAAGGACUAAAAACCAUUAGUUCCAGGUUCCUGUUUCCACCCUGCCGGAGACUAUUCACUCUGACACUUGGAGUCUCCACUUAUCUGUCGAAUGGCACGUACCCACCACAGAGAUGCUGUGAGGGUAGAAGGAAGAAAUAGAUGUGAAAAGUAGUUUAAAUGUCAUAAUGUUCUUCACAGUGCCAGCUACCGCAGUGACCCUGUGACAGUGGUGAUGCGGGAAGAGUACCCUUGCAGGUAGGAGCUAUAGGAGCUAUAAGGAAACAGGCCUAAGAGACAAGCUUGCUUCAAUAGCAUGUGAGUCAAAAAAGACCUGUGCUGUGCUGUGUAUGGGCGACCAAUGGGGAAAUGACGCAAGCAUAGUAAAAAAGAUGCACACAGAGUUCCCAUCAUGGCUCAGCAGGACUAGCAUCCAUGAGGACACAGGUUCAAUCCCUGGCCUCGCUCAGGUGUUAAGGAUCUGGCAUUGCGUGAGCUGUGGUGUAGGUUGCAGAAGUGGCUCUGAUCCUGUGUUGCUGUGGCUGUGGCGUAGGCUGGUGGCUGCACCUCCAAUUUGACUCCUAGACUGGGAACCUCCAUAUGCCAUGGGCACAACCCUAAAAAGCAAAAGCAAAAAACAAGGUCCAGAUGAGUUCCCCCUUGUGGCGUAGCGCGUUAAGGAUCUGGUGUUGUCACUAUAGUGCUUUGGGUUGCUGCUAUGUCACGGAUCUCAUCCCUGGUCUGGGAACUUCUACAUGCUGUGGGCACAGCCAAAAAAAAAAAAAAAAAAAAUUUAAUCUGUAAUAACAAUUUAUUGGAUGCGUAUUCCAUGCUUCUUUGCUGAUACAAAUGCCACCUUGUAAUCAUCAUAGUAAAUACUGUGUGCUGUCUUCUAAAUAAAGGCAAGCCUGCUCUUUCAUGAACUCAGUGAGGGGAGGGCAAGGGCCUAAACCAGGGGAAGACAGGUGCCUAAGCCAGGGGAAGGCAGGGGCCCAAGUCAGGGAAAGGCAAGGGCCAGAACUUGGGAGCUUUUCUCACCCCAUUGCUCUCAGUUGAUGUCUUUGCAGUUUCUCUCAAGAUGGUUAUGCCAUCGCUAGUACUAUCGCUCUAGUACUCAGUUCCUGUAUGGAUGGAAAGAGAACAGGGUAAAACUUGGAGCAAAUAUUAUUGCCUAGCAAUAUAAAUAGCUUUUGGAAAAAAAGAAAGAAAAACCUGUCCCCGUGUUUGCCCUGCAUUAUGGGGCUUCCUGCUUAUUCUUUCUUUGUGUCUUUCAUCUUCCCUUUAAAGCUUGAAAACAUCCCACUUCCCUUCCCAUCUGUUCACCACAUUAAUUGCUCUGGGCUGAAAGAAGUUUCUUCAGUAUAGGUUUUCUUCCUGCUUUUGAGUUUAAGUCCAUUACAUAACCCCAGCUGCUUUGUUGUUUAACUUGUUAAUCUUCGUCUUGCUGGUAUUGGUAAAAGUCCUUGGUGACUGAGCAGGUUAGGUAUGGAGACUGAAAUGAUCCUUAGCUCCUGUGUAAAAAGCGUGCCGAGCUUUUUCGUUGUGUAACUCACCGUGAGCAAUAAUCUGGCCUUUUCCAGAUGAACAGCAGGUACAUGUCAGUUGUUCAACAGAGAAGGUGUUCUGAGCGCUGCUGUCCAUCUGUCUGGCCUAGAUGGGACAUGGAGGUGGAAGGCAUCGUACCUGGUCAGUGUGGGGUCCACUGACUGGUCAGUGCGGGGUCCACUGGAGAUGAAGUGCUGUGUUGGAAAAGAUUAGAUCCCAGUCAGAAGAUCUGCAGGUAUCUUGCUUCAUGGCCUUGCUUCAGUUUCUUUUUUGGAAAAUGAAUGAAUUGAACUGAAUCAGUGGAUUCCAUCUCCCUCAAAGACCCUUGACGCUUGGGACUCUCUACCUUAGUGGGUGAGCAGGUGGGCUGUGGCGUCCAGUCUCUCACUUUUAUAUGUUAGAUUUCCAUGUAAAAUUUCAAAUAAAACCUUCCAGUGCUAAAAGUAUUUGAAAGCAGGUGACCAAAGGAGUCCUCACAUCUCUUCCAGCUCUGAUCUUCUGUGAGCCUAAGUCUUUGUACCUAAAUGUAAGAACAUGUAGAAGCAGGUGUGCUAAGUGUGAGUCAGAGAAUUCUCCUUCAGCCACGUAGCUUUCACUAGAUUCCUGCAGACCCGAGAAAAUCAUAGCUUCUGAACAUCAUGCUGUCUUCAUUUGGAGCCAGAGGUACGUGAAAUUUUAUAUGGUUGGUAGGAAAUACAGAAAAGUAGGAAAAAAUUACAAAUAGAACCUCCCCUUAACAAAGACAGUCACAUUUCUGAUUUAUUUUCCUUCCAGGUGAUUGUCCCAUAUACUGUGAUUUUUUAACAUAGUUAUGAGUAUAAAUACACACACAAGUUUUAUAUCCGGGCUUUUUAUUUAAUCUUAGAGCAGAGGUGUUUUCCCACAGGUACAAUGCAGGGGCUGGUGUAUAACCAACACAUAGUGCAGCGCCUGGCCAGCAGGAGGUGCUCAGCGAAAAGUAACUAAUCAAGGUGUUUCAGUUAAUCCCAAGCAAAUGUAAAAGGGCCUUUCUGGAGUUCCUGUUGUGAGUCAGCAGGUUAAGAAUCCAGCUAGUAUCCAUGGGGAUGCAGGUUUGAUCCCUGGCCUUGCUCAGAGGGUUAAGGAUCUGGCAUUGCCAUGAACUGCGGUAUAGGUCAUGCAUACAGCUCAGAUCUGGCGUUGCUGUGGCAGUGGUGUAGACUGGUGGCCGCAGCUCUGAUUCAGCCCCUAGCCUGGGAACUUCUGUAUGCUGUGGGUGCAGCCACAAAAAGCAAAAACAAAACAAAAGUUCUGUUUCUCCCAUUCUGUGAUAAGAAAUAUGGCUGCUGCCUCUUUUCUAAUGCUGAAUAUGUACACACCGCAGCAUCCAGCAGCUCCACUGCUAAGUGAAUGGCCAACAGAAAUGCAUACAUAUAUUCACCAAAAGACCUGGUCUAGAAUGUUGGAGGAGCAAUACUGAUAAUAGCCCUAAACUAGAAAUGACCCAGCUGCUGUCAACAUGGUGUUGGGACAAAUCUGUGGGUUCACACAAGGAGUACAAACCAGCAAUGGUAGUGCAAAAUCCACAGCUGGACACAAAGCCGGACCCAGAGAGCGCAUGCUGUGUAACUGCAUUUAAAUGUCCAGGGUAAACAGUCUGUGCUGAUAGGAGCCUUUCAGGGAGCAGGGGAGGACUUCUGAAUGCUGGUGUUGCUUGAUUGCUUGCUCUGGGUGCUGGUUACAUGGCUGCAUCAGUUUGCAAAAGCUCAUCGUGCUAUAUACUUAAGAUAAAUGUACUUUCUGUGUGUGCACUAUGCUUACAUGUAAAAUUUUGAAGGAAUGCCUGUGGUUUUCUAAAUUAUAGGUGAUCUAAUAGAAGAGUAAAGCACUGUUAAGUACUUUAAGCUUUUGAUCAUGUUUCACUGAAAAAGUAAGAAUUGAAUCUCUUAGGCAUCUGCUUAUUAAGGUUCCCCUUGGAUGUACGCUUAGGUUACUCUCUAGGUGCCCGUUAUAGCACUUAUCAUGCUAUGUUAUUAUAACUGUCUGUCUUUCCUCUCCUCACACCAGGCCUUAAAUUUCCUGGGGAUCAGAACCAUUUUCUAGCUUGGCCACUGUUAUACCCUUAGCGCUUGGUGAGCACUCAGACACUUGCUGAGUGAGUAGAAUGAAUAGUGCCAGUGAGAACGCUCCGUGAAUAGUAGUGCCAUCCUGGGCUCCUCCUGGUGGCCAUUCCGGGGUUUUAUUUAUGAUGUUCUGCCCAGUUGGUGCCCUCAUCCUGACUUUGCAUGCAUUUUAUACAGGACAUUCUACACAGGAGCGAGGAUUUGCUCCCCAGGCGGAUGCAGUGGGUUAGGGAUCCAUCAUUGCUGCAGCUGCAGUGUAGGUCGAAGCUGCAGCUCAGAUUCGAUCCUUGGCUCAGGGACUUUCACGUGUGCAGCCAAAAAAGGAAAACAAAAACAAAAACAAACAGAACUACAGAGGGACACUGACACUCUGACACUCUUUUUUUUCCCCUUCUAUGCUCUGCCCAUGGCAACACUGGAUCUGAGUCGCAUCUGCGACCUACACUGCCGUUUGUGGCAGUGCGGCCGGAUCCUUAACCCACUGAGCAAGGCUGGGGAUCAAACCUGUGUCCUCAUGGAGACAAGUUGGGUCCUUAACCCCGAGCUACAACAGGAACACCCUGACACUCUUUCUUGUUCUUUGAUAACCUUUUACGUUUUGACUCAGAUCAUCUGCUAAUUACAUGUAACGGGAUUACAUAAUCUGUCUUGAUAUUGGUAAUGUAUGAUAAGUGUCCCUGUAUCAGUUAAUUUAAAAUAUACAUAAUAAU